rnacentral:rRNA from 1 species
UGGAUUAGUGGCGANCNGGUGAGUAACACGUGGGCAAUCUGCCCUUCACUCUGGGACAAGCCCUGGAAACGGGGUCUAAUACCGGAUAACACCCUCGCGGGCAUCUGCGAGGGUUGAAAGCUCCGGCGGUGAAGGAUGAGCCCGCGGCCUAUCAGCUUGUUGGUGAGGUAAUGGCUCACCAAGGCGACGACGGGUAGCCGGCCUGAGAGGGCGACCGGCCACACUGGGACUGAGACACGGCCCAGACUCCUACGGGAGGCAGCAGUGGGGAAUAUUGCACAAUGGGCGAAAGCCUGAUGCAGCGACGCCGCGUGAGGGAUGACGGCCUUCGGGUUGUAACCUCUUUCAGCAGGGAAAAAGCGAGAGUGACGGUACCUGCAAAAAAACGCCGGCUAACUACGUGCCAGCAGCCGCGGUAAUACGUANGGGGCAAGCGUUNUCCGGAAUUAUUGGGCGUAAAAAGNUNUUANGCGNCUUNUCACCUCNAUUUGGAAAACCCC